rnacentral:rRNA from 1 species
CCAUAACACAGGUGCUGCAUGGCUGUCGUCAGCUCGUGUCGUGAGAUGUUGGUUAAGUCCGCAACGAGCGCAACCCUUGUCAUUAGUUGCUACAUUCAGUUGGGCACUCUAAUGAGACUGCCGGUGACAAACCGGAGGAAGGUGGGGAUGACGUCAAGUCCUCAUGGCCCUUAUAGGUGGGGCUACACACGUCAUACAAUGGCCGGUACAAAGGGUCGCAAACCCGCGAGGGGGAGCCAAUCCAUCAAAGCCGGUCGUAGUCCGGAUCGCAGUCUGCAACUCGACUGCGUGAAGUCGGAAUCGCUAGUAAUCGUGGAUCAGCAUGUCACGGUGAAUACGUUCCCGGGUCUU